rnacentral:lncRNA from 10 species
AGCUGUGGACUAUCUGGCACUGGAGACUAACAGGACAAAAUAAAGAAAACAGACUCUUCAGCAGUAUAAAGUUUUCAUCAAGUCAAAUAUAUUCACUUUAAAGUGACUGUGCUUUAUUCUGAUACCAUGUCCUUCCUAAUUUGGGGGGCACAGCUGGAGAAAAUUCACUGGCAAUGGAAUAUUUAAAAUUAGAGCUUGCUUAGUGUGCUGCUUCUGAUCACUACUUGAUCCCACUUCGUGCUUUCAUGUUAAUUGGCCCAAUUGGACUCUACAGUUGGAAGGUGAAAACUUACUAUUUCAACUUGAGUCACGUAUGUAUUCUUAUCAUAUACUUCUUAAAGGUACUAUUUUUUUUCUUCUGAUAGUCACCACACCAAGCACUUCCAGCCACCCUGCCACAGACUUCCUUUGUAAUCACUGUUGAAGGACAUGAUGUUUUUAUGACUUCCCGAAAUGAAAACCCUAUCUUGUUUUUAAAACAAACAAACCAACAAAAAGUAGUGUUUAUGUAAGCAUUUUG